AUGGAGAAGCUCUCAUCGGCAGCGACUUUCGUGGAGGGCGGUGUGUACGCCUGCGACCACACCUGCAGCAUCUGCCUCAAGGCCUUCUGCGACAGUGACUCCUCCACAGUUACAGGCUGCAAGCAUGAUUUGCAUCUCCAGUGCAUCCUUGAGUGGUGCCAGAGAAGCUCCCAGUGUCCCAUGUGUUGGCAGGCAAUCAACACGAAGGGCCCUAUGAGUGCUUUGGAGAAGAUGGACAUGAGGCCCCAACCUACACUGGCAUAG
rnacentral:rRNA from 1 species